AGCAAAACUUACACAUACUAGAAACAUGUCAUAUUAUAAACACACCGAACACAGUGAACAAGCGCACCGAUACAGACAAUCUGAGCAAUACGUACGCCGGCGUACUACACACUUUAAAAAACAAUACACGAAGCCAGGCCGUCCAACAGGCAAACGAAUCGGUACAACAAGAGUUAACACAAUCAGAGUAAAAGUGGCGCCAAAACGGGCAACUGCAUCGCUGUUCUGCGACCCGGAUAGUUUUUCGGAUAUUUUUCGGAUAUUUUAUCCCAUCCAUCCGCCGGCGGCGGCAGAGUAAGUAAAACCAGACGGAAAGUUUACUUGCGCAGCAUGCUUGCCUGGUACUCAUGUGAAUUCUUGUUGUAGCGAUACGUUACGUCUGGGACAAAUGUGGCCUAUGCUGUGGGCUCAUACUGACGACAAAACGGAGCAUAGUUAAUUCCCAGAAGAAGGCGCAAUAUAGCGACCGAAACGUCGGAUGAAAGCUUAAAAAUCCGUUUUUGAGUUAUUCCUCCAAAGACUGAACGCCAUUCCCCUUCCAACAUAAUCA